rnacentral:rRNA from 1 species
AGAUUGAACGCUGGCGGCAUGCCUUACACNUGCAAGUCGAACGGUAACGCGGGGCAACCUGGCGACGAGUGGCGAACGGGUGAGUAACGCAUCGGAACGUGCCCAGUAGUGGGGGAUAGCCCGGCGAAAGCGGAUUAAUACCGCAUACGACCUAAGGGUGAAAGCGGGGGAUCGCAAGACCUCGCGCUAUUGGAGCGGCCGAUGUCAGAUUAGGUAGUUGGUGGGGUAAAGGCCUACCAAGCCGACGAUCUGUAGCUGGUCUGAGAGGACGACCAGCCACACUGGGACUGAGACACGGCCCAGACUCCUACGGGAGGCAGCAGUGGGGAAUUUUGGACAAUGGGCGCAACCUGGAUCCAGCCAUGCCGCGUGCGGGAAGAAGGCCUUCGGGUUGUAAACCGCUUUUGUCAGGGAAGAAAAGGCUCGAACUAAUACUUUGGGCUCAUGACGGUACCUGAAGAAUAAGCACCGGCUAACUACGUGCCAACAGCCGCGGUAAUACGUAGGGUGCAAGCGUUAAUCGGAAUUACUGGGCGUAAAGCGUGCGCAGGCGGUCUUGUAARACARARGURAAAUCCCCGGGCUCAACCUGGGAACUGCCUUUGUGACUGCAAGGCUUGAGUACGGUAGARGGGGAUGGAAUUCCGCGU